GGACGGGUGAGUAAUGCUUAGGAAUCUGCCUAUUAGUGGGGGACAACGUUCCGAAAGGAGCGCUAAUACCGCAUACGUCCUACGGGAGAAAGCAGGGGACCUUCGGGCCUUGCGCUAAUAGAUGAGCCUAAGUCGGAUUAGCUAGUUGGUAGGGUAAAGGCCUACCAAGGCGACGAUCUGUAGCGGGUCUGAGAGGAUGAUCCGCCACACUGGGACUGAGACACGGCCCAGACUCCUACGGGAGGCAGCAGUGGGGAAUAUUGGACAAUGGGGGGAACCCUGAUCCAGCCAUGCCGCGUGUGUGAAGAAGGCCUUUUGGUUGUAAAGCACUUUAAGCGAGGAGGAGGCUACCUAGAUUAAUACUUUAGGAUAGUGGACGUUACUCGCAGAAUAAGCACCGGCUAACUCUGUGCCAGCAGCCGCGGUAAUACAGAGGGUGCGAGCGUUAAUCGGAUUUACUGGGCGUAAAGCGUGCGUAGGCGGCCAAUUAAGUCAAAUGUGAAAUCCCCGAGCUUAACUUGGGAAUUGCAUUCGAUACUGGUUGGCUAGAGUAUGGGAGAGGAUGGUAGAAUUCCAGGUGUAGCGGUGAAAUGCGUAGAGAUCUGGAGGAAUACCGAUGGCGAAGGCAGCCAUCUGGCCUAAUACUGACGCUGAGGUACGAAAGCAUGGGGAGCAAACAGGAUUAGAUACCCUGGUAGUCCAUGCCGUAAACGAUGUCUACUAGCCGUUGG
rnacentral:rRNA from 1 species